GACGAACGCUGGCGGCGUGCUUAACACAUGCAAGUCGAACGGAAAGGCCCUGCUUUUGUGGGGUGCUCGAGUGGCGAACGGGUGAGUAACACGUGAGUAACCUGCCCUUGACUUUGGGAUAACUUCAGGAAACUGGGGCUAAUACCGGAUAGGAGCUCCUGCUGCAUGGUGGGGGUUGGAAAGUUUCGGCGGUUGGGGAUGGACUCGCGGCUUAUCAGCUUGUUGGUGGGGCAGUGGCUUACCAAGGCUUUGACGGGUAGCCGGCCUGAGAGGGUGACCGGCCACAUUGGGACUGAGAUACGGCCCAGACUCCUACGGGAGGCAGCAGUGGGGAAUAUUGCACAAUGGGCGGAAGCUUGAUGCAGCAACGCCGCGUGCGGGAUGACGGCCUUCGGGUUGUAAACCGCUUUCGCCUGUGACGAAGCGUGAGUGACGGUAAUGGGUAAAGAAGCACCGGCUAACUACGUG
rnacentral:rRNA from 1 species